GCUGUGCUUUUCUCCUCCUCUCUUAUGUUUGCUUAGCAACCCUCCAGAACUCAAAUGCUCUGGGACUGGUUUGAGAAGACAGCUGAGACUAUUCACAGAUGAAGAAACUUGAAUGGGUCAAAUGUGUGUUCAGGUGUUACACCACAAGGAAGAUGGGAACAGAACUCCAAUGACUCCGAGACCCAAUCCUUCACUGGAAUGUCCUGACCCUUCAUGGAAGUGUCAAUGGCCCCUAUCCAGAGACUCCCGCCCCAGCUUCUGCUUAAUCUGCUUCUGGACUUUGUGCUCUGAUUGAAGACAGGACCUCAUCCCAUCUUUAACCCUGACAAUGCCCUGUAAUGGAAAGAGCCCCAGUCUUGGAGUUGGAAGAUCUAACUUUCUCUUCUCUCUGAAUCACUCCUUGAGCUGCUCAGAACUGCUGUGCUGGGCUCCAGAAAAUCCAUCCACCCUCAGGAGAAAACAGGUACUUUCCUGGUCUGCAGGAUUGUUUUGGAAUCCCUGCUCUGCUGUAUUUAUUCUUUGACUUCAGGUCCUUGAACAUCUCCAAGCUCUUCCACAAUGUUUUCUCUGAUUAAAAAUCUGUG